rnacentral:misc_RNA from 1 species
AAGUCGUAACAAGGUUUCCGUAGGUGAACCUGCGGAAGGAUCAUUACUGAGGUUACCGGGGAUGAGUUGCGGGUGGCUAGUUGCUGGUGCCUUCACGGCGCAUGUGCACGGUCCUCAAUUCUCAUCUUCGUCCUUCUAUCAACCCCUGUGCACUAUAAUGGGAUUAGAGCGAAGCGCGUCGUCUUAGGGAUUUAGCCUAGUAGUUGUGGGUCCGCCCGCGGCAAAAGGUUAAUCUUUGAUCGGCGGCUCGUGGUACCUCGAAGUCUCCGUUACUUCAAACUACUAUAUAUGUCUUGUCAGAAUGUCUAGUCCUUCAUUGGGCGCUAAAUGAAAUACAACUUUCAACAACGGAUCUCUUGGCUCUC